CAGGGACUAUGCCAUUGCCAUAGCAACUGCUCAAUAUAAAAUGGAGCAACUUGCCUUUUACUCUAAUUUCCACAAUUUACUCAAGAAACUUUAGACUGCUCUAAUCUCAUCCACCCUAUUCCCAAAGUCAAUAUGAUUUCAGGACCCUUGCAACCACUCAAAAGCAAGUCGAUAUGCUGAUUUCACCAUAAAUUCCCAUCAGCUGAGAAAUGCGGCAAAUGCCACCCUUUUCUGUCAUUGGCAAUGGUUUCACUCAGAGCGGUGGUUAGAAGUUUUACAGCCUCCUCCUGAUCACAAAUUUGAGAGAUAAACCAAGUAUUCCAACUUCUGGACUGGGAAUCAACCAAAGCACUUACAGUAUGAACAUUGCCCUUUAUAGGACAUGUUGAUAUAACUUUGAACCCCGGUACGUCAGGAACCCAAAGGUCUGUUCAAACCUUAAUUGAGUGACCUUUUCCAACCCUCCACCUUACACCUCUAUGUAUCACUUCCUACAUGAACAUAUACUCUUCCAAGCCCAACUUGAGUUGUUUCUCACCCUAGCUUCCAUGAAAGAGAAGUUUGGAUAAUAUUUGCCGUUGUGCAACUUUGACAAAGAGCUGCCCUUCAACUUCAAAUCUCCACCCUUGUUUUGAUAAUAGAGCUAUAUUAAAAGCCUCAAGGUCUCAAAAUCCUAGGCCAUCCUCAUUCUUAUUUUAGCGUAGGUGAUUCCACUUCAUCCAACACAAUUUUCUUUCCUCCUUUGGUCCUGCCUACCAGAAAUCCAACAUUUUACUCCUUAAUUUUGUACAGACCCCUCUUGGCAUCUUGAGGCAACUCAUUGUAACUGUAGAAACAGCCUGGAGUACAGAUUUAAGAAGUGUCUCUUUCCCAGCUAAAGAGAAAAAGCAGUCCUUCCAUCCCCUUACUUAGCAAUAAUCCUGUCUUAAAGAUUUUGGAAUACUUGCUUAGGGUGAAGGGGCUAUGUUAACUGGAUGAUACAGUUUGAGGGGUUGGUUAGUGCUUUUGCUGACUUUGACUGUUGUUAUCUAGUCAAGAAUUGCCAACUUUGAGUUUCUUAGCAAUUUUUCAUUAGGAAAUAGAUUAUUCAUCUCUUUUUGCUUCUAUGAACCUCUGCUGAUUACAUGUUGAAUAGGUUCAUGCAGUCUCUGUCCAGUUAAUUGAAAUUCAUCCAGCUUCUUGGAGAAAAAAGAAUGCCAUGGCCAGUGUAUCUACUCCAGAAGCAAACCAGUGUCAUACAAGAAGUACGUGUUAGGAAGAGCUAUCUCAUUCCCUUGCUCCUGAAGUUCAACAUGACGCUUUCAUUCAAAGAGAGCCCCAUUGCUCUAUUUCAGAAGAAAAGCAGGACCUGUCCAUUCCAUUUGUUAUUGAAGAAUUGCCACAAAUGUUUUUCAUAUUCGUGCUCCUGGAAAUCAGUCAAGUUGGGCAAUAUCUACCUAACAAGAGGCCGAGCGCAUCAAUAGGCAUUGGUGGUUCAGUUGGGUAGUGAUGAUAUUCUGGGGUUGCAAUAAGAACCUAAAUAAUAAGAAUUGCAGUAUUGAUUGUGAUGAAUGUUAUACAUGGAUAUGCAGAAAGCAGAAGCUUGGGUACCUAGAAUGCUCUGAAUGCAUGUCUGGUCCAAAUGGUGAAAGGAAAGCGAGGCUAUUGUGAGGACAAAUCAAGUUGAAGAAAAUGGAAUGUCAAAUUCGGAUCCCCCACCGAAACUAUCAGUUGCUUUUCACUGAGAGGAUCCUGGCACCAUUGAGUGACUCCAGUCUCUGGGAGGUUCUAUACCUUAACUUCUCUAAAAGGUAUAGAGUUAGUAAACUUUUUGUUAUAUUAAUUUAUAGGGUAAUUGUGUUCUCUUUUUGUCAUAAUGUAUAAGAAUACCCCACAGAAGGUCACAUAUUCGAAAAGGUGGAUAUUUUCUUGGUGUAAACAAUCUGGGUUGUAACGACUUGACAUUUUAUUUUCGAGUUUAUAUGUAGGAGACAUCUUUUUUUUU